AAAUCACCGAUUUCUGUCACACAUUUUCCCUAAAACCAGCUCUGUAAAGGUCUCUAGCCACAUGGUUUGAAGCCUCAACGGUUUAAUGUUUGGCAUCUUGCCUUUUUGAUUCAAGGAAAUGAGAGACUGACAGGUUUAUGCUCUCAGCCAAUUGCAAAGCUGCUCCCUUCUCUGUCCCACCUACCACUUCCUUUCAUCUUUCUCUCUUUCAUCAUCACUGUGCUUCCUGCACGUUCCCUGUUCCUGUGCUCCCAGACCAGCGUGCUUGGCUGAAAAUGGAAUUGAUGAGCUGGGAGGAAACAGUUGCUUUGGAGAAAUGGCACGUUCCAGAUAUGAGACUCAGUGAGCUGAUUGUGGAGAGGCUGAGGAUGAAGACUGACUCCCCACCCCCAUGAAAUGAUCGGGGCUGAAGUGGAAAAAUUAAGUACUGUAACUGAAUCUUGAAAAUGGUCUGUAAUGAAACAUCCUGGACCUGAGCCCCAAGGACUGUAGGAUAAGGGCCUCCAACUGAGUAGGGCCUUGAAGAAAAGGGACUGAGUGGUUUUAUGGCCUACCUGAGCUGAGGUAAAGAUAAUCAGCUCUUGUGCUUUCAGGGCUUGCUCUGGUCUCUUAGGAAGUAGCCAGGGAUGUGUUGCUAGAGGCAGGAUGCUUGACUUGAUGGGUCCAUCCACUGUUUUAUUAGUUGUAUUACACUGUAGCCUGUGCUAGGGUUUGUACAGACACUUUNCAGAUAUAGAUGCGUCCAGUGGCAACUCUGAUCUCUGGUGUAGCUGCUACAGUAGGAGAGAAGAAGAGGCUGUGUUGGUCACGCUCUUAUGAAUGUUUCUUUGCCCAUUUCAGAUUGUGGAGAGGCUGAGGAUGAAGACUGACUCCCCACCCCCAUGAAAUGAUGGGGGCUGAAGUGGAAAAAUUAAGUACUGUAACUGAAUCUUGAAAAUGGUCUGUAAUGAAACAUCCUGGACCUGAGCCCCAAGGACUGUAGGAUAAGGGCCUCCAACUGAGUAGGGCCUUGAAGAAAAGGGACUGAGUGGUUUUAUGGCCUACCUGAGCUGAGGUAAAGAUAAUCAGCUCUUGUGCUUUCAGGGCUUGCUCUGGUCUCUUAGGAAGUAGCCAGGGAUGUGUUGCUAGAGGCAGGAUGCUUGACUUGAUGGGUCCAUCCACUGUUUUAUUAGUUGUAUUACACUGUAGCCUGUGCUAGGGUUUGUACAGACACUUUAUUAGAGACCAUCCCUGUCCCAAAGAUUUUUGUUGGUUUUGUCUACUUAGGUUAUAAAGGAUGGAAAAGAGGAAGUAUCAGCAUUGCAGAUGGGAAACUGAGGUACAGAGAGCUGAAGACUGAAAUUUUCAAAGGAGCCCGUGGAGUUAGGUACCCAAAUCUGAGAUUUAAAAGGAUUU
rnacentral:lncRNA from 1 species